AGUAUGAACAUGAAACUGAUCUGCUCUCUGGAAGAGGGAGGGUUUAAAACAUUGAUAUCUGGUGAGAUAUUCUUAAACUUCAGACAGACCAUAAGGAACAAACACAAUGAUGCUCCAAUCUGUCAUUCUGCUUUCUGCCUUUGCAUAUGCAACAUAUGGAAAUGAAAUUAAACCAACCAAAACAGAGGAGUUUGCUGUCGAGGGUUCAACUGUUAAAUUAUCCUGCAGUUAUUCAUCUGCAAAUAAUCUUCAAUGGUACCGUCAGUAUCCCGGAUCAGCUCCUGAAUUCCUUGUGCUCAUCUCAGAUGGUGCUAAAUCUCAGGAGUCUUAUGUAGAUUCCAGAUUCACUGCCAAAGUCACUAAAGUCAAAGAAAACUCUGUGGAUCUGAUCAUCUCCUCUGCUGCAGUGUCAGACUCUGCUCUGUAUUACUGUGCUCUGGUGCCCACAGUCACAGGAAACACAAGAACACUGUACAAAAACCUGACGCAGCUGAAUGCCUUCCCUUGUGAAAAAGAACUCCUGCUCUAA